AAAAAGUGUUAUUAUUUAUGGUAGGCAGAAUACUAAAAUUAGCCCCAUGAUCUCCACUGCUGGUGUUAGUCCUAUGAUUAUAUUAUGUUGCAUGGCAAACAGGAAUUUGGCAGUUGCAAUUAAGGUUAUCAAUCUGUUGACUGUAUUGUAGAGACCUUUUCCCAGUGGGCCUAACCUAACCACAUAAGCCCCAUAAAGCUGAGAAUUUUCUUCAAUUGGUAGCUGAAAAGAAAAUCAAAGAGAUUCAAAGUGUGAGAGGGAUUAUUUCAGGGAGACAUUGCUAGAAUGGAUUGGGCCACUCAGGCAAGAACUUGAGAAUGGCCUCUAAGAACUGAGAAAUGUACCCAGCCAACAGCCAGCAAGAAAACAGGGACCUCAGUCCUACAACUGCAAGGCACUCAGUUCUACCAAAAACCUGAAUGAGUUUGGAAGUGGAUUCUUCUACAGAGCCUCCAGGACAAAAUAAAUGGUGGCCAGAUGCAGUGGCUUAGGCCUGUAAUCCUAGCACUUUGGGAGGCCAAGGUGGAAGAACUGCUUGAGUCCAGGAGUUCAAGACCAGCCUGGACAACACGGUGAAACCGUGUCUCUACAAAAAACACAAAAACAUUAGCCAGGCAUAGUGGCAUGUGCCUGAAGUCUCAGCUACCCGGGAGGCUGAGGAGGAAGGAUCACCUGAGACCUGGAGGUUAAGACUUACAUUGAGCCACGAUCACACCAGCCCUCCAGCCUGGGUGCAAACCAGCUCUCCUCUACUAGAGUUUGGAAGACUUUCAACCAAUCAGUCGUUCAGAAAAUAAUACUGGAUACCUACUAAGUUCAAGGCAUUGUUUGUGCUAUAUGAACACAGCAAUGAACAACAAUAAUAACAAUAAAUAAACAAAAACUCAUCUAUACUCAUGGAGUUUACAGUCAAGGGGCCAAGAGAGAAAAUUAAGAAAUAAAAUGAAUGAAGAGAAGCUGCGUGAAAGGAGAGCUGCAAAAGGACAACUUGACCCAGAGAGAGUCGCCCUCACCAGGGCCCUCCUCCCGGCUUCACUGGGUCUCUGGAUGGGCCAGUUGCACAAAUACAAGAAGAUCAGGCCAGCAUCCUGGAAGUGGGGAGGGGACUUGGUAUCACCCUCCUUGGAUAGGUGUUUGCCAAGUUCUAGUUAACCCAGUUACAGUAAAGCCAUUGUGGACUCUUUAGUGGAGCAAGCCUCAAAUCUACAUGGCAUUCACGAUUUUUCGAUGGCCCUGGCCACAGCCAGUAACUGCAAUUUAGUGGCUUACACAUUACCAUGAAAGGGGGCGGGCAAAGGCUCAAGAGCAAUGGAUUUUUACGGCAAUAGGAAAUAGAACACAUUUUGUGCAGUCGCCAACUCCUUUGCAUUUCUGAGGAUGAAAUGCCCCCUAGAUCAAAGUGACAAAGUGGUUAGGAUAUUCACGGGACAGAAGACAAAAGGAGUUCGUUCACUGCCAAAAAGAAAAAAAAAAAGCCUUCUGUUAAGUAUUUAGAAGUUUAAUAACAGUACUUACAUGAGAAGCAGAAUGCAAGAGGGCAACUUGAAAGUGUGCACAGUUAAACAGGAGCUAGCCAUUUUCCUUCACACAGGCAGGAAGCUUACCUUCAUUCACUCGUUCAUUCCCCAAUAUACAUUGAGCACCUACUAUAUGGGACACUGCAUUUGGUAUUAUAAGAAGUACAAAUGUGCAUAACAAAGCCUCUACUCUUAAGAAGAUGGUGGACAUUCAGGGAAGCUAAUGAAGUAUAUGCACAAAUCAAGGUGUCAGACCAACUAUAUAGCACUUGCAAAGGAGAUAGGCAAAAACUGGUUUUGCAAUCUUAGCCCAAGACAAGCCUCAAGAGGGUAAAAGAGGUUACAGAGGCAAGGAAAGAGACAAUUUCUUUGGAGGGAUUUGCUAGAAUUCUGUGCAUUUCACUCUUCACUUGCCCCUACUUUGCAAUGGAAAAGUUGAGGGCUACUCCCUCCUUACUUCAUGCCAAGUGAAAGAUGCUUUAAGAGAACCACUUGGGGAGCUUGGUCUGUUUCUCUUUAGAGUCUGUGGUGGAUAUGGGUCAAAUGCAAGGCCUACAAUUGAAAAAAUCUCCAGGCAAGAAGCUGGAUGAAGCUGCUCAUAGUGUCCAAUUUGAAAGCUGUAUAGACAAUAAACUGUGCUUCCACCGAUGAAAAAAAAAAAAAAACAAAAAUGAGGACACAUACAUGUUUCCUGAAUUCUACAUGUGGUCCAUAGCACAUGGGAAACACCUGUCCUAGAGUUGUUGAACAGAUAAUUUACCCAAGAGGGCUACCUACAGAGAAAAUGGAUUUAAAAGGAAGGGAAAAGGAUUAAAGGAAUGGAAAAUAUAGAAGCCUUCUGCCUGUAUUUUAAGGAGAUCAUCACACUUAAUUCAGUAGUUAUAGUAUAUUAAGGUAGAAAGUCUAAAUCUCAUUCAGAUAUGUAAAUAUACAGUGUUAUGAGGGAAAGGUUUUUUUAAGAUCACCUAAGACUUGUUAAACACUACUAAUGCAUGGCUAAAUAAAGUCUGGGCCUAAAGAGGUCCUGUCUAUAAAUCCAAGAAGUCAAAUGAAAAGUGCAAUUUUAAGUUGUCAUCCAGAUAUUUAGAUUUCAAGACUCCAGGAUUUUGGAAACUUGCAGAUUUUGGAAGUUUGAGAAACUAUAAUUUUUAUCUACAUGUCUAAAAUAUUAAGAGACGACAUGAAGAAAAAAAUGCAGACUCAGACUUAAUCUAAACAGAUUUGGUUCUUUACCAUGAAAAACCCUUAGAGUGACACCCUUAAAGAGUGAUUCCUACAGGGAAUUAUAGAAGUCUUUUGUCCUCGGCCUGGCGUGGUGGCUCACACCUGUAAUCCCAGCACUUUGGGAGGCAAAGGAGGGUGAAUCAUUUGAGGUCAGGAGUUUGAGACCAGCCUGGCUAACAUGGCAAAACCCUGUCUGUACUAAAAAUACAAAAAUCAGCUAGGUGUGGCAGUGGCG
rnacentral:lncRNA from 1 species